ACCUGCUUCUGCCAGGAGCUGAAAUUCGUCUACCUGACAUCAGACAGCCGCCAGCUCCACACCGAGAUCUACAACAAAGACCUCCAGGAGGGAAUGCAGCUCUCUUUGACGAAGGUCGCCCAGGAGGGUGAAAAGGAGUGUGACCCACUGUGGGCUGCCUUCCUGAGGGCAGGGGACAUUGAUCCUCCAGCUGCCUCUUCUCCUCCUUCGUACUCAGCAGGGCUGCA
rnacentral:lncRNA from 1 species